UGGGGAAUUUUACGCAAUGGGGGAAACCCUGACGUAGCGACACCGCGUGAGCGAAGAAGCCUUUUGGGGUGUAAAGCUCUGUCAGCAGGGACGAAUAAAUGACGGUACCUGCAGAGGAAGCAUCGGCUAACUACGUGCCAGCAGCCGCGGUAAGACGUAGGAUGCAAGCGUUGUCCGGAUUUAUUGGGCGUAAAGAGUUCGUAGGCGGUUCGUUAAGUUUGGUGUUAAAGACCGGGGCUCAACCUCGGGACCGCACUGAAUACUGGCGGACUGGAGUGCAGUAGAGGCAAGCGGAAUUCCAGGUGUAGCGGUGAAAUGCGUAGAUAUCUGGAAGAACACCGGUGGCGCAAGCGGCUUGCUGGGCUGUUACUGACGCUGAGGAACGAAAGCUAGGGGAGCGAAUGGGAUUAGAUACCCCCGUAGUCC
rnacentral:rRNA from 1 species